AUGAGGAACCCUAGGGAUAUAUUGUUGCCACCAUUGAACGCGAUAACAACGUCAGGGGCAUUGAACUGUUUGGUAUGGAAUUGUCGUGAGAUUGUUGGGUCCUGGACAGCUUGUGACCUUGUGUCCCUCAAUCAAGUGCAUCAUCCUCAUUUUAUCUUCUUAUGUGAGACUACACAAAACAAAGAGAAAGUUCUGCGUCUCUGCAAUCGUCUAGGCUUGAGAGGAUUUUCUAGAGUUAGCAGUGGAGGGUUUAGUGAAGGCUUGGCCCUCUUCUAG
rnacentral:rRNA from 1 species